UGUAAGCUGGAUGCCAAAAAGUGGCCCUGAGUCUUGAUAUCCCCUGGGUCAAGACAAGACAUGGCAGGAGAUCCUCACAUACUGUGGAAAAAUACAAGAGUGUCAAUAAUGGAUCUGAACAUGAUCUGCCAGCAAGCUGGAUGAAUUGUGUGAUUGUCACAUCCACUGAAUGUUCUGGAGCAUCCCUGACAAGGCUUCCUUAUGCCAUGCUCGUGAAGUAGUGAUAUUCUGCUAUUGCAUUUCACAGGAGAAGGCACAGAGACAAUCAGUAGGUCUCCCGACAUGGCAAGAAAUUGGAGUCAAGUGUCCCAAACUAGAGGGCCCUGUCUCCUCAGUUGCACCAGCACUGUGGUUUCUGGCAUUGUUCUGCAGAGGCAAUCACCACAAAAAUCUGGAUGAACAAACUUCUCAUGUAUAUGGCAGGGCAACCUCAGAAAGUGGUGUGCACAGCAGCUGGUAUUGCUGUCUUGGCUGUCUUGGCCAUGAAGAUCAUGCUCCAGCCUGGCUGCAGCUCCUAAGGGAAGCAGAGGUGACCUCUUGUGACUUUCAGUGUCCUUUCCUUCUGCUCCCCGCUCCAUACCUUUUGAACCCAUAUGGCAGUUUAUGUCUAAAUUGAAACAAGCAUAGAUAACUCAAAGACAUUUACAUUUCUUGGGGUUCUGACAAAAUUAAUGACUGGGUAGAGGUGAAAGAUCCAUGUUUAUGCUACCGGAAAGAUCAGCAAGUCAAGCUCCUGUGAAGCUCUGAACUGACCACAGCCCAUCCUGUAUCCUGUGUGGUGGGGGCCCUGAGUGGCCUUGGAGAGACAGAAGAUGAAGUUUCUGUAAAGGUGAAGCUGUGGGAUAUGUUCUUCAUGGGACAAUAGACUUCAUGUCUUUCACUGCUCAUAAAUCAUUUGGUUACCAUCACCUAACUGAUUGCCAAUAAAUUUGUUAAUUUA
rnacentral:lncRNA from 1 species